GACGAACGCUGGCGGCGUGCCUAACACAUGCAAGUCGAGCGAAUGAAGUUCCUUCGGGAAUGGAUUUAGCGGCGGACGGGUGAGUAACACGUGGGCAACCUGCCUCAUAGAGGGGAAUAGCCUUCCGAAAGGGAGAUUAAUACCGCAUAAGAUUGUAGUACCGCAUGAUACAGCAAUUAAAGGAGCAAUCCGCUAUGAGAUGGGCCCGCGGCGCAUUAGCUAGUUGGUGAGGUAACGGCUCACCAAGGCGACGAUGCGUAGCCGACCUGAGAGGGUGAUCGGCCACAUUGGGACUGAGACACGGCCCAGACUCCUACGGGAGGCAGCAGUGGGGAAUAUUGCACAAUGGGGGAAACCCUGAUGCAGCAACGCCGCGUGAGUGACGACGGCCUUCGGGUUGUAAAGCUCUGUCUUCAGGGACGAUAAUGACGGUACCUGAGGAGGAAGCCGACGGCUAACUAACGUGCCAGCAGCCGCGGUAAAAGUC
rnacentral:rRNA from 1 species